UGUUGCCAUACAUCCCUGUAUCUUACCCUCCCUUAUCAGCAGGCAGUUGCCAGUUAAGACCUACUUAAGUUAAAGAUGUUUGUUUUCCUCAAUUUUAUUUCUGCCAUUAAAGUAGCUACCUAGCAGUUCUGCUACGUAAAUAUUGAAGUAGCUAUACCUUUACCCCUGCCCUUCAGUAGGUCUCAUCAUUGUACCUAGAUUAGGCUGCUGCUAAACACCAGAGAUUUCCUAUACAGGCAUGAAGACUAUCAGGUCAAUGUAAAUGUGUAAUUCACUGAUAUAUGACUGUUCCUGUUCAAACUGCUGUAAGUAAUACUACACAUUUCUGAUAUAAAACCACUCAACUAACAAAUGUAACUUGGCUAAUAAAACUAGACUGAAAGCAGGCAUUCAGGUUGUCACUCUGCUCCUCUCAUGGAUUAAACAUAAUAUUAUCCAGCUUAGAGCUAUAUCAUAUUUGGGUGAUGAGAAACUUGGGUCUCAUUUUUCUCAGCCCAUGGAACUGCACCAAAAGCACCUGCUAACACACACAGCUUUCCAUAGUUUAUAGCUGAGAACUAAACUAGUCCAGAAGGAUUGGAUAUACAGCGUGCCACUUAAGUCUGGACACUUGGUCUCUUGCCAGAGAGUAAUUGAAAUGUUUUUUGUAGUAGCAGAUAGUCUCACACUCCAGCAAAAUCAAACUUCUGAUUUUUUUUUUUU